GAUGAACGCUGGCGGCGUGCCUAAUACAUGCAAGUCGAGCGAACGGACGAGAAGCUUGCUUCUCUGAUGUUAGCGGCGGACGGGUGAGUAACACGUGGAUAACCUACCUAUAAGACUGGGAUAACUUCGGGAAACCGGAGCUAAUACCGGAUGAUAUUUUGAACCGCAUGGUUCAAAAGUGAAAGACGGUCUUGCUGUCACUUAUAGAUGGAUCCGCGCUGCAUUAGCUAGUUGGUAAGGUAACGGCUUACCAAGGCAACGAUGCAUAGCCGACCUGAGAGGGUGAUAGGCCACACUGGAACGGAGACACGGUCCAGACUCCUACGGGAGGCAGCAGUAGGGAAUCUUCCGCAAUGGGCGAAAGCCUGACGGAGCAACGCCGCGUGAGUGAUGAAGGUCUUCGGAUCGUAAAACUCUGUUAUUAGGGAAGAACAUAUGUGUAAGUAACUGUGCACAUCUUGACGGUACCUAAUCAGAAAGCCACGGCUAACUACGUG
rnacentral:rRNA from 1 species